rnacentral:rRNA from 1 species
AUUGAACGCUGGCGGCAGGCCUAACACAUGCAAGUCGAACGAGCGGCGGACGGGUGAGUAAUGUCUGGGAAACUGCCUGAUGGAGGGGGAUAACUACUGGAAACGGUAGCUAAUACCGCAUACUAUCAAAUGAGACUAGGUCGGCUUAGCUAGUUGGUGGGGUAAAGGCCUACCGAGGCGACGAUCCGUAACUGGUCUGAGAGGAUGACCAGUCACACCGGAAACGAGACACGGUCCAGCCUCCUCAGGGAGGCAGCAGUGGUGAAUAUUGCACAAUGGGCGCAAGCCUGAUGCAGCCAUGCCGCGUGUAUGAAGAAGGCCUUCGGGUUGUAAAGUACUUUCAGCGGGGAGGCGUUACCCGCAGAAGAAGCACCGGCUAACUCCGUGCCAGCAGCCGCGGUAAUAC